rnacentral:misc_RNA from 1 species
AAGGAUCAUUAUCGAAUAAACUUGAACAGGCUGUUGCUGGUCUCUUGUGUAGACAUGUGCACGCUUGUCUCAUCUUUAUCAUUUCUCCAACUGUGCACAUUUUGUAGACCCUGGAGUCUUUUUGGAUAUCUUGUUUUCAGAGGUCAGGACUGCUGUGCUUCUUGUUUUUGAAGUCAGCUUUUCCUUGCAUCUCCAGGUCUAUGUUAUUUCUCAUAAACUCUCAAAUGUCUAGAAUGGUUGAAUAAAGGUGCUAUUUGUACCUACAAAAGUUAUAAUACAACUUUCAGCAACGGAUCUCUUGGCUCUC